CAAGUCGCACGAGAAAGUGGAGCAAUCCAUGAGUACAGUGGCGCACGGGCUGAGUAACACGAUGAAUCAUCUACCUCCGAGUGGGGAAUAACCCUAUGAGAAAUCUGGGCUAAUACCGCAUAACACUUACGAGUCAAAGCAGCAAUGCGCUUGGAGAGGAGUUCGCGGCCGAUUAGCUAGUUGGCGGGGUAAUGGCCCACCAAGGCGAUGAUCGGUAUCCGGCCUGAGAGGGCGCACGGACACACUGGAACUGAAACACGGUCCAGACUCCUACGGGAGGCAGCAGUGGGGAAUUUUGCGCAAUGGGGGAAACCCUGACGCAGCAACGCCGCGUGGAGGAUGAAAUCCCUUGGGAUGUAAACUCCUUUCGAUGGGGAAGAUUAUGACGGUACCCAUAGAAGAAGCCCCGGCUAACUUCGUGCCAGCAGCCGCGGUAAUACGAGGGGGGCAAGCGUUGUUCGGAAUUAUUGGGCGUAAAGGGUGCGUAGGCGGUUUGACAAGUCUGAUGUGAAAUCUAUGGGCUCAACCCAUAGCCUGCAUCGGAAACUGUCGGGCUUGAGUAUGGGAGAGGUGAGUGGAA
rnacentral:rRNA from 1 species